rnacentral:lncRNA from 1 species
AGGUGACCCACCUCGCUAGAGUAUUCUAUUCUAUCUACGACAACUACUAACUAUUAGUAGGCUGUACUCAUUUCUUUUCAAACUUUAAGUUUCAAGGGGACUAGGCUAAGCUUGGUUUCCCUAAGCUUCUGUUCUUAGUUUUGUUUAUUAGGUUUUAAGUUUGUUAGUUAAGUAAAUUCUAAGUUAGCUUCGAUGCUCUAGUUUCUUCUAAACUUUGCACCUCUCAAGAAUUGAAGAACCUGAACCGCCAGAGGCGAAGCUGGUCCUGUGUCUCUUACCACCAGGUUAUCCAGGAAGGGUGUGCCCCAGAGCAGUUUCCACUGCAAGAGUUAGAGGGUGGCAGCCCAAUUACCGGGCAGGCAAAGGAUGAAAUUCCUGGAUGCAGCUCUGCCGUUAAUCACUAGCCUCUUUCCAGUUAACGCCUGAUUUCAGAUUCCCCUUUUUCUCAGAAGCCCUUCUCUUCAGGCUGGGUCUCUCGCCAAGUGACUGGUAUGUCCCUGACAGGGGAGCCAAAAAUUAAUAAUGAA